AUUGAACGCUGGCGGCAUGCUUUACACAUGCAAGUCGAACGGCAGCGCGGGCUUCGGCCUGGCGGCGCGUGGCGAACGGGUGAGUAAUACAUCGGAACGUGCCCAGUAGUGGGGGAUAGCUCGGCGAAAGCCGGAUUAAUACCGCAUACGACCUGCUGGUGAAAGCGGGAGAUCUUCGGACCUCGCGCUAUUGGAGCGGCCGAUGGCGGAUUAGCUAGUUGGUGGGGUAAAGGCCUACCAAGGCGACGAUCUGUAGCUGGUCUGAGAGGACGACCAGCCACACUGGGACUGAGACACGGCCCAGACGCCUACGGGAGGGAGCAGUGGGGAAUGUUGGACAAUGGGCGAAAGCCUGAUCCAGCAAUGCCGCGUGUGUGAUGAAGGCCUUCGGGUUGUAAAGCACUCUUGGCGGGAACGAAAAGGACUGGGCCAAUACCACGGUUCGAUGACGGUACCCGCAGAAUAAGCACCGGCUAACUACGUG
rnacentral:rRNA from 1 species